CUCCCAGAGUGUGCUAAUGCUGCCAAACAGCUGUAUGAUGGCGACCAGACGGGAAGUCCUGGGAGCAUAGAUCAAAGGAUGCAAGACCUCAGACUCUCAUUAUAUAGGUUACUGAGGCAAGGAUCGCGAUUCCUGGAAACACCAUUGAUAUUUGCAGAAUUGAGAAAUCCCAAACCUUACCCUGGCCAAGAGACUCCACUGGCCAGACAGGCAGCUGCCCAGCAAAGUUCAGCUUGGAGACCAGGGAAGAGGAUCAACACUGCCCCGAGUCCCGUCUUCAGCCAAUGACAGUUGAGAAGGAACUGAGGGGCGCACGAGACGCGAGCGCUCAGGCAGACUCUAAACGAGACUGAGACAGCAGCUGAGCACGUGCAUCCUGACCAGGCACUGCUACCAAAGAUCUCCCGAUCUAUGGCGCCAGGACACAUCAUCACCUGGAGUGGAGCACCCACAGGGACAGCACUUGAAGAAGAACUAUGAUUGCUCAUGUAGUGGUCCUAUACUAACAAAGGGUCACCUACUCAAAAUGUCAGGGGUAAGAGCCAGACACCAACUACCUGACUUUUGGGUGGUGUACAUGUUGUCACCCAACAUUUUAAACACAUUUUUGACUGAUGUGAUUACAGCCCACCAUGCAAAGGGUUCUCCUCCAGUAGUGACAUUAGAACACAGGUUUAUCCUCUUUUCCCAGAAGGAUUGGCUCUAGGGUGACCAGAUGUCCCAAUUUUAUAGCGACAGUCCUGAUUUUGGGGGCUUUUUUUUUUUUAAAUAUAGGCACCUAUUACCCCCCACCCCAUCCCAAUUUUUUACACUUGCUAUCUGGUCACCCUAAUUGGCUCUGACACAUGCAAUUCCACAAGGUGGUAAAUUGUACUGUCCUGCAACCCCCAACACACACAGCUAUCUCCAAUGAAAUGCAGUCUCUGGCUAGAAAGAAUAAAAUAUACUGUAUAUUCUCUUUCAUUUCCCCUUCCGAUACAAUAUGUUGCCUCCAACUUUGCUAGGCUAGGUUAUUUAAAAAUAAAUAAAUAGAAAGUU